rnacentral:rRNA from 1 species
UAGGGAAUCUUCCGCAAUGGACGAAAGUCUGACGGAGCAACGCCGCGUGAGUGAUGAAGGUUUUCGGAUCGUAAAACUCUGUUGUCAGGGAAGAACAAGUACGGGAGUAACUGUCCGUACCUUGACGGUACCUGACCAGAAAGCCACGGCUAACUACGUGCCAGCAGCCGCGGUAAUACGUAGGUGGCAAGCGUUGUCCGGAAUUAUUGGGCGUAAAGCGCGCGCAGGCGGUCUUUUAAGUCUGAUGUGAAAGCCCACGGCUCAACCGUGGAAGGUCAUUGGAAACUGGAAGACUUGAGUGCAGAAGAGAAGAGCGGAAUUCCACGUGUAGCGGUGAAAUGCGUAGAGAUGUGGAGGAACACCAGUGGCGAAGGCGGCUCUUUGGUCUGUAACUGACGCUGAGGCGCGAAAGCGUGGGGAGCAAACAG